CGGGGCGUAGCGUAGCUUGGUAUCGCGUUUGUUUUGGGAACAAAAGGUCGCAGGUUCAAAUCCUGUCGCCCCGACCA
rnacentral:tRNA from 1 species